CCCCUGCUCUGGUCAUGAACAGAAAACUGUGUAUCCAGUGGCCAAUAUAUCUCCCUUCUACUACUCUGCUGUUCCCAACUGGCCUGGGUCUAUCACAGAAUAUAUAGCAGGCUGAACGCAGAAACAAACAAAAGGUUGAUCCAAUCAAGACCAGAUGUGAAACUGACAAAAUACCAUGACAAAGGCUUUACACGGGGAAUUUCCAAUCCAACUGGAAGCAGGAAGAACCAGGAAUCUUGCAAGAAAAUCUGUUUUUUGCAUGAAUUUCCAGUCUAAUUUUUCAGCCUUAAGAAGAUCUGAUAGUGGCCAGAUCCUAAGCUGUGUAGCUCAAGUGAAGUCAAUGAAGCUGUUCAAGGUUAUAGCACAUGGGUAUUUGGCCCUGAUGAGACUUUUGGUUGAUUAUUGGAGGUGGAUGUUUUGAACUUCAAUUCCACUAAUUCACCUCUGUGCUACCGUACAUAGUCUAUGCAGUACACUCUAUUACACAUAAAUAUACAUUAUCACUAAAUAACCAGCCUAUCUGGUAGAUUAAAUCUAUACUUUGACAUAAAAAACCCUUUUCACCCCCAAUAUUUUUCAUUUGAAAAGAGUGAAUAUUGUAAAUGAUUUCCAACAUAAUUCACUUCAUUAAGCUUUGCAAAUUCAGAAGUACAAAGAAAAAUAGAAAUUUACAAAGUUGUUUUGAAAAUGCUGCUAGAAGAUCCAGCCUAAAUUCACAGAAGUUAAGUAAGAUCCAUUGAAAAAAGAAAUUGAAACAAAUGCAGAAUCUUUCAACUGGGAUGCCUAAGGUCUCUAGGAAAAAUGUUUAAAAAUAAUCCUUUUUCCUUCUUGAGAAGAGGGCUUCA